AUGAAGACUCUCCUUCACAAAAAGGCAGCUGCAAAGCUGCCAACCAGGGAAGCCAUAGGUCACCACACUGGAACUACAAACAUGAGGAAGAAAAAGACAUCUCCAAUGAAGCCAAGAGGAAGGUCUUCCUCUCAGUCCUGCAGACACAUGGUAGGCUGCAGAAUUUCACAUGGAUAGAAGAAGGGAGAUGAGCCCAUCACCCAGUGUAAAGGGACCGUUCUGAAUCAGGUGCCUAUAUAUCCCUUUCUUUAUCUGGUAAAAUAUUAUGGAAUUGACUGUGUUUAUGGACUAGAACUUCACAGAGAUGAAAGAAUUUUAAAGCUUAAAAUCCUUCCUCAUAAGGUGCCAUUCUCACAAGUCAGGGAUUUCUGCCUUGCAAAUACCAUAAUUGGCAAAGCAGUGAAACACAUGUUUGAGGGAGAGCAUGGUUCUAUGGAUAAAUGGAGGGGGAUGGUCCUAGCCCAAGCACCUAUCAUGAAAGCCUGGUUUUAUAUUACUUAUAAGAAAGAUCCUGUCUUGCACAUGUACUAGCUACUCGAUGAUUAUAAGGCAGGUGACCUCUGCAUCAUGCCAGAAUCAAGUGUGUCUCAUCCAGUGAAGAGGGAACCAGAAGGAUUUAUAGAUAGCCUGAUAGAUAAACAUGUGGAAUAUACCAAAGAAGACGACUCCAAAAGGACAGACAAGGUCAUCCACCAAGUUAAAGCCAAACCUGUGUAUUUCAUCGUUUGAUGAUGACUUCCAUAUCUAUGUCUACGAUUUGGUGAAAAUAUCU
rnacentral:lncRNA from 1 species